ACCUCCUUAGCUAAUUGUUUAAAGAAUUUGAUUGUUAAUUAGAGAGUCCUUUGUUCAAGUCCAAGAGGGGGAG
rnacentral:tRNA from 2 species